CAGUUUCGCCCCAGCAAUCGCCCAACGAAAAACAACAAAUAUCUCUAAACACUAAAGGGCGGAGAAUCUCAGCCCCUCUGACUGCCUCUACGUGAUUUUAUCUAGGCCGUUGGCAUGUUGUGAUCCCUGCCGUUGGUUUCUUUUUUCCAAGGCGAUUUGGUGCGCUAGCCGUGGCUUGUUGGCCUUUCCGGUCUCUUCUCGAAGCUCGAAUAAUCUGUUCUUUGCCUUCUCAAAGCGACGCCGACGGGUUCUUGAUGUUCAAAGCCUAAAGCCGCCUCAGGCCUCAGCGAUCCACGAGCGUCGACGACGAAGCGAUUCCCUGGAGGCCUUUCCCCCCAAUCCCGACUCAGCGAUCCACGAAUGGCGACGAGGGCAAUGACGAACCGAUUCCCCAGCGGCCUUUUCCCCUAAUCGAAGUUAUCCCAGCGGCGGCAAUGGCGGUGGCAAGGUCCGGGCUCCGGCACAUGUUCGGCAUCUCUGACUCGCGGAGCCGAGUGCACGCUUUUUCUCCUCGGCGUUCACCCCGCCGACGCCUCCCCCGACCAACCUCUUCGUCUCCGAUUGCUUCCGGGAAUGUUUAGUUCCCUACCAAUUCUUUAUGAAGUGUGCAUUCUUAUGCUGCUGCGUACAAGGUACUGGACAACAUACUAUGAUAAAUUUGGAGAAGAGGAUCAAACUCACUUGCAAUUAUUGCAGCAACUCAUGGUAACUACGUAUUGAAUAUGCAAUUGCAUGGAGAACUGAUUAGUUAAUAGUAGCAAUUGCACAGUAGAUCAAAUAAAAGAUUCACAAUAGAUGGGGAGGAGGGUGCCGGCAGUGGAGGCAAUAUCAGAUUGGGCCCGAUGUCAGAAUAUUUGUUUCUUUACAUUUUUUGGAGUUUCAGUUCUUCUGGUUUUGUACGUAUAUGACCUGGAAUUCAGAGUAAAAUGGUCAUCCUGAGACCAAGUAUAUGACAGCCGAGGAAGCAGUCGUCAUUGCCUUCGUUCCCCCUAGGACUGGUGCAGUGUGCAGAAGCAGCGGUUACACUGGACUGCGAGUAGCCGGCGAAGCGAAGGUCACCGAGCAGGAGUGGCAUCCAUUUUGGUAAGUUGCAGCCCCUUUUUCUAAAUGUUGUUUUAUAUGCAAGAUCCAGACCAGUUGUUUUGAAAAAGCAAAACUAUAAUUUAUUUUAAUCUUUUAUACCCAAGGUAACAUUGCAUUCAUAGAGGGGACCUCUCUGGUUAUUUUGUUUUUGAUCAGCUACAUAACGAAGCUGUCUUUCACUGCAACUACUCAUCAAGACAACUGACCUAUGAUCAAAAUAGUCAACCUGCUUGACACCACAGGCCAUCCUAAUGAAAAUAAUUUAAAUACUUAGUGAUAGUGGCAUUGUCGUUGUUAUGGACCACAAGCCUGCUUUCUGAUUGUACUCAACAAAUUAUAAGACUGAUAAAACUUGGCAAUCUCCUUAGGUACAGGCGCUUGACUAGCUUUCUUUCAAUCUCAUUUUAAAGAACUUUGUCUUGAUCUAAAUAGCAAUGAGCUACUGCUUUCUGAGCUAUUGCUUAAUGUUUGUGUACUUCUUUUGUCUACAGGAGAUGGUGAGUUCACAGUUGAGUUGGUGUGAACAAGUAUUUGCUUCUUUUAAAAUAGUAUUAACCAUGUUUUUGAGAUCUCUCCAGCAUUUUGUUAACUCUAAAUUUGCCCACUAGCUUACAACUUGCCCAAGUGUCAAGUCAUUGUUGAAUGUUUGGUGCUAUGUACAUGUUGCAGUAACCUGACAUGGUAAGGUAAUAAGUAAGGAGGACCAAUGCAGAGACUAACGGCAUGUGAAGAUGACAACUUUUCCAGUAUGCCUUGCUACAUCAAUGUUUCCUGAAUCAACUUUGUUACGUGCAGGUUGCCAACUUUUUAUACAUUAUGACAACUCAAAUAACACAGGUAUUGAAAAUAGAUGCUACCUCGAUUAAUUAAAGAUAGCAUGACUGCCCUUUCACGAUAGUAUUGGUGUGUGGCAAGUGGUGAAAUUAUUAUGUUUAGGAAUAGAGAGAUAGCUUUGUUCCUAUAUUCCGUUAUUUAGUAUAUCAUUAACUCUUUGCCCCUAAUUGCAUUGAUUCAAAUUGGUAACACAACCACAGAUUUGCAAAGAGAUGCUCUUUUCUUUCCCAAGUUAAAUUGCAAUGCAUCAGAGUAGAUCUCCAAGUUGUGUAGUUGUCCUGAUUCGCAUAUCCUUUUUAUGCAGUACAAGGACUCAUUCAACUAUGUACCCUUGUUAUUUCUAACUCGAACAAGAUUGCAUGAGAACUGCUAAUCUCUUCAACGAAAUGCUCUCCUGGACUUGUGUUUUAUUUCCUGCAAUAUUCUUUAUUGAGGACUAAAGAGUUGUUUCUACUUUUUAUUAACAAAGUACUAAUGACUACUCCCUCCGUCCCAUAUUAAGUGACUCAAAUUUGCCCAAAUAUGGAUAUAUCUAUAUCCAAAAAGCGUCUAAAUACAUGUACUCCCUCCGAUCGGUAUUACUUGUCUCAAAUUCGCCCAAAUACGGAUGUAUCUAUGUGUAAAAAGCUUCUAGAUACAUGUAAUAUUUCGACAAGUAAUUCCGGUUGGAGGGAGUAAUAUUUUGUCACUUAAUAUGGGACGGAGGGAGUAUUAUUUUGUAUUCCUCAAUAUUUUCCCUACAGAUCGUCAAUAAUCAGGUGCCAUGAGGUUAAGUUUCUGCAGGUCAUGCCAAGAUGACAUUCAAGUGAUCAAAUUUCAAGAGAAGCUCGCAUACAAGCAGUGUAAGUUGUUGAGUCGAUGAAGAAUUAUAUGAUCAGUUGAGGAUGUUACUCAAGUUUCUUGGGUUGCCGGUGUAUAAUUAUUUUAGGUUACGUUCUGUUAAUGCUUGUAUUUAUUUGUGCAAACUAGAAGUUAGCUGGGAGCUGUGCAUACUAUGGGAAUUCCAAUUAAUGAGAUCAAAGUAUGUAAUAUUUUAGCAAAUGGGUAUAUAUCUUACGAGUGUCAUACUCUUUGCAGUACUUCAAAUUCUCAAACUUCUAUAUCA